rnacentral:rRNA from 1 species
UACGGGGGGGGCAAGCGUUGUUCGGAAUUACUGGGCGUAAAGGGCUCGUAGGUGGCCAACUAAGUCGGACGUGAAAUCCCUCGGCUUAACCGGGGAACUGCGUCCGAUACUGGUUGGCUUGAGUUUGGGAGAGGGAUGCGGAAUUCCAGGUGUAGCGGUGAAAUGCGUAGAUAUCUGGAGGAAUACCGGUGGCGAAGGCGGCAUCCUGGACCGGCAUUGACGCUGAGGCGCGAAAGCCAGGGGAGCAAACGGG